ACGUAGGGUGCAGGCGUUAAUCGGAAUUACUGGGCGUAAAGCGUACGCAGGCGGUUUGCUAAGACAGGUGUGAAAUCUCCGGGCUUAACCUGGGAACUGCGCUUGUUACUGGCAAGCUAGAGUGUGGCAGAGGGGGGUAGAAUUCCAGGUGUAGCAGUGAAAUGCGUAGAGAUGUGGAGGAACACCGAUGGCGAAGGCAGCCCCCUGGGUCAAAACUGACGCUCAUGCACGAAAGCGUGGGGAGCAAACAGGA
rnacentral:rRNA from 1 species